rnacentral:rRNA from 1 species
CCUACGGGUGGCAGCAGUGGGGGAUAUUGCACAAUGGGGGAAACCCUGAUGCAGCGACGCCGCGUGAGUGAAGAAGUAUUUCGGUAUGGAAAGCUCUAUCAGCAGGGGAGAAAAUGACAUUACCUGACCAAGAAUCCCCGGCUAACUACGUGCCAGCAGCCGCAGUAAUACGUAGGGGGCAGGCGUUAUCCGGAUUUACUGGGUGUAAAGGGAGCGUAGACGGUUAUGUAAGUCUGGAGUGAAAUCUCGGGGCCCAACCCCGGGACUGCUGUGGAAACUGGGUAACUGGAGUACAGGAGGGGCAGGCGGAAUUCGUGGUGUAGCGGUGAAAUGCGUAGAUAUCAGGAGGAACACCGGUGGCGAAGGCGGCCUGCUGGACUGAAACUGACGCUGAGGCUCGAAAGCGUGGGGAGCAAACAGGAUUAGAUACCCCUGUAGUC